GGGUUGUGAGGUUAAGCGACUAAGCGUACACGGUGGAUGCCCUGGCAGUCAGAGGCGAUGAAGGACGUGCUAAUCUGCGAUAAGCGCCGGUAAGGUGAUAUGAACCGUUAUAACCGGCGAUUUCCGAAUGGGGAAACCCAGUGUGAUUCGUCACACUAUCAUUAACUGAAUCCAUAGGUUAAUGAGGCGAACCGGGGGAACUGAAACAUCUAAGUACCCCGAGGAAAAGAAAUCAACCGAGAUUCCCCCAGUAGCGGCGAGCGAACGGGGAGGAGCCCAGAGCCUGAAUCAGCAUGUGUGUUAGUGGAAGCGUCUGGAAAGGCGCGCGAUACAGGGUGACAGCCCCGUACACAAAAGCGCACAUGCUGUGAGCUCGAUGAGUAGGGCGGGACACGUGGUAUCCUGUCUGAAUAUGGGGGGACCAUCCUCCAAGGCUAAAUACUCCUGACUGACCGAUAGUGAACCAGUACCGUGAGGGAAAGGCGAAAAGAACCCCGGCGAGGGGAGUGAAAAAGAACCUGAAACCGUGUACGUACAAGCAGUGGGAGCACCCUUUGGGGUGUGACUGCGUACCUUUUGUAUAAUGGGUCAGCGACUUAUAUUCUGUAGCAAGGUUAACCGCAUAGGGGAGCCGUAGGGAAACCGAGUCUUAACCGGGCGUUAAGUUGCAGGGUAUAGACCCGAAACCCGGUGAUCUAGCCAUGGGCAGGUUGAAGGUUGGGUAACACUAACUGGAGGACCGAACCGACUAAUGUUGAAAAAUUAGCGGAUGACCUGUGGCUGGGGGUGAAAGGCCAAUCAAACCGGGAGAUAGCUGGUUCUCCCCGAAAGCUAUUUAGGUAGCGCCUCGUGAACUCAUCUCCGGGGGUAGAGCACUGUUUCGGCUAGGGGGCCAUCCCGGCUUACCAACCCGAUGCAAACUGCGAAUACCGGAGAAUGUUAUCACGGGAGACACACGGCGGGUGCUAACGUCCGUCGUGAAGAGGGAAACAACCCAGACCGCCAGCUAAGGUCCCAAAGUCAUGGUUAAGUGGGAAACGAUGUGGGAAGGCCCAGACAGCCAGGAUGUUGGCUUAGAAGCAGCCAUCAUUUAAAGAAAGCGUAAUAGCUCACUGGUCGAGUCGGCCUGCGCGGAAGAUGUAACGGGGCUAAACCAUGCACCGAAGCUGCGGCAGCGAACGUAUCACUUAAAGCGAUUCAGCGGGUUACGAUUGACGGAGCGAAGCGACGUCAAAGCGUAUACAAAGUCGAGUCGGUUUAAGGAUACGUUCGUUGGGUAGGGGAGCGUUCUGUAAGCCUGCGAAGGUGGCCUGUGAGGGUUGCUGGAGGUAUCAGAAGUGCGAAUGCUGACAUAAGUAACGAUAAAGCGGGUGAAAAGCCCGCUCGCCGGAAGACCAAGGGUUCCUGUCCAACGUUAAUCGGGGCAGGGUGAGUCGACCCCUAAGGCGAGGCCGAAAGGCGUAGUCGAUGGGAAACGGGUUAAUAUUCCCGUACUUGGUGUUACUGCGAAGGGGGGACGGAGAAGGCUAUGUUGGCCGGGCGACGGUUGUCCCGGUUUAAGCGUGUAGGUGUGUGUGUUCCAGGUAAAUCCGGUUCACUUUAACACUGAGGCGUGAUGACGAGGCACUACGGUGCUGAAGCAACAAAUGCCCUGCUUCCAGGAAAAGCCUCUAAGCAUCAGGUAACAUCAAAUCGUACCCCAAACCGACACAGGUGGUCAGGUAGAGAAUACCAAGGCGCUUGAGAGAACUCGGGUGAAGGAACUAGGCAAAAUGGUGCCGUAACUUCGGGAGAAGGCACGCUGACACGUAGGUGAAGUGAUUUACUCAUGGAGCUGAAGUCAGUCGAAGAUACCAGCUGGCUGCAACUGUUUAUUAAAAACACAGCACUGUGCAAACACGAAAGUGGACGUAUACGGUGUGACGCCUGCCCGGUGCCGGAAGGUUAAUUGAUGGGGUCAGCGCAAGCGAAGCUCCUGAUCGAAGCCCCGGUAAACGGCGGCCGUAACUAUAACGGUCCUAAGGUAGCGAAAUUCCUUGUCGGGUAAGUUCCGACCUGCACGAAUGGCGUAAUGAUGGCCAGGCUGUCUCCACCCGAGACUCAGUGAAAUUGAACUCGCUGUGAAGAUGCAGUGUACCCGCGGCAAGACGGAAAGACCCCGUGAACCUUUACUAUAGCUUGACACUGAACAUUGAGCCUUGAUGUGUAGGAUAGGUGGGAGGCUUUGAAGUGUGGACGCCAGUCUGCAUGGAGCCGACCUUGAAAUACCACCCUUUAAUGUUUGAUGUUCUAACGUGGACCCGUUACCCGGGUUGCGGACAGUGUCUGGUGGGUAGUUUGACUGGGGCGGUCUCCUCCUAAAGAGUAACGGAGGAGCACGAAGGUUGGCUAAUCCUGGUCGGACAUCAGGAGGUUAGUGCAAUGGCAUAAGCCAGCUUGACUGCGAGCGUGACGGCGCGAGCAGGUGCGAAAGCAGGUCAUAGUGAUCCGGUGGUUCUGAAUGGAAGGGCCAUCGCUCAACGGAUAAAAGGUACUCCGGGGAUAACAGGCUGAUACCGCCCAAGAGUUCAUAUCGACGGCGGUGUUUGGCACCUCGAUGUCGGCUCAUCACAUCCUGGGGCUGAAGUAGGUCCCAAGGGUAUGGCUGUUCGCCAUUUAAAGUGGUACGCGAGCUGGGUUUAGAACGUCGUGAGACAGUUCGGUCCCUAUCUGCCGUGGGCGCUGGAGAACUGAGGGGGGCUGCUCCUAGUACGAGAGGACCGGAGUGGACGCAUCACUGGUGUUCGGGUUGUCAUGCCAAUGGCACUGCCCGGUAGCUAAAUGCGGAAGAGAUAAGUGCUGAAAGCAUCUAAGCACGAAACUUGCCCCGAGAUGAGUUCUCCCUGAGACUUUAAGUCUCCUGAAGGAACGUUGAAGACGACGACGUUGAUAGGCCGGGUGUGUAAGCGCAGCGAUGCGUUGAGCUAACCGGUACUAAUGAACCGUGAGGCUUAACCUUACAACGCCGAAG
rnacentral:rRNA from 1 species